AAAAAGCGCGACGCGCUUUUGCUCCAAUCCAAAGUCGCCAAUCUUCCUCGUAUCAUCAGAACCCGAAAAGCGAUACAGGAAGCCUCCUCAUCAUCAUUGACUGUCUCUCCAUUCUCUUUCGCUGCAUCGAGAGAGAAAGAGAGAGAGAGAGAGAGAGGGGGUUACGUAGCGAAAGGAUUGCGACAUCAACAUCGGAGACUGGUGGCCGCUGCGACGGAGGAGCCGGAUGGGGUGUUGCGAGAGCAAGAACGCUGACUCGAAGGCUGGUCGGAUCGCUCGCUGGCGAUCGACUGGAAUUGUCGCUUUACGCGACUCCAAAUUGAAGUCGUUCCCGGAUGAAGUUCUCGGUCUGGGUAGAUCUGUACGAACUCUCGAUUUAACUCAUAACAGGUUAGUUGACGUUCCUGUGGAGGUCAACAAGCUAAUCAACAUGCAACACCUGGUUCUAGCUGAUAACUUAAUUGAGCGGCUGCCAGUAAGCUUGGGGAAACUUCAUUCAUUGAAAGUGAUGAUACUUGAUGCAAAUCGAAUGUCCACCUUGCCUGAUGAAUUGGGACAGCUAGUGAGGCUUGAACAGUUAUCUGUCGCAGGAAACAUGUUAACUUACUUGCCUGAGACAAUUGGGAGCUUGCGCAAUUUAUUGCUUUUGAAUGUCUCAAAUAAUAAAUUGAAGUCACUUCCAGAGUCAAUAGGAAGUUGCUUCUCUUUGGAAGAGCUACGAGCAGAUGAUAAUUCCAUUGAAGAUAUUCCUCCAUCAUUUUGCAGUCUCAUUAAUUUGAAGUCGCUCUCAUUGAACAACAAUAACGUGAACCAGAUUACUCCAAAUCUGUUGAAAGAUUGUAGAUCUCUGCAAAAUGUAUCCUUGCACAACAAUCCAAUUCUAAUGGACCAGUUUCAGCAGAUGGAAGGAUUCCAAGAAUUUGAAGCAAGGAGAAAGAAGAAGUUCGACAAGCAGAUUGACUCAAAUGUGAUGAUUAGUUCCAAAGGCCUAGAUGAGGGUGUUGACUUAUGAUAGUUCUGUAUCAAUAGAGGAAAGGGUAAGUUCCAUGAGACUUCACUUAAAUGUGGCGCAUUGCACAACUUCGUAGAUAUAAAUUUUUAUUUUAAAUCAUAAACUAAUGGAAUUUAAUGAUAGUUGUGCUGUUUGAUUGUUGGAGUCUUUGGGUUAAUCAUUUUGGUAAUUGUGCUGAUGUUAGUUGUCCACUCUUCGACUUCACCUAAUUACCACUUGGUAUCUGCUGCUUUCAUUAGACCUCACAAAUCAUGACCCAUUCUUUUCCUCUAAUGACAAGGAACCCUGCCCUUGGCGACUUUAUAGAAGGGGCUGGAGAAUGCCAUUUAUUUUGGAAACCAAAUGUUCUCUUGAGCAUUGUCUCAACUUUUUCAGUUC